AAUAAUAACUCUUGAGUGACCCUCUGUCGGUCGGUGGGUCGGAUAGGCAGCCCCCAGGGCUCUCUCUGUUUCUGUCUUGAGGGCUGGUGUGUGUUGUGCUAGUCACCAGGCAACAGACUAGGAACUAGGAACUAGGCAACAGACUAGGAACUAGGCAACAGACUAGGAACUAGGAACUAGGCAGCAGACUAGGAACUAGGAACUAGGCAGCAGUGUAGGAACCAGGCAGCUAAGCAUCAUUCGAUCAGUGUGUUAAGGCUACAAUACUUAGGGAAUAGGAACAUGUUGAACACUGAAUAGUCAAGGUACAGUCAAUUUUCUAUGACGCAAUAUGAAUGUCAUUGAUCCGUUUUCACCAGUACUAAUGGUGUAACUGAUAAGCUUCUUCCAAUAAACAUUGAUGAUUGGGAUGGUCAAAGUUAGCUGAUUAGGUUAAAUCAACAUUCAUUAUCUUGUCACACAGUAACCUCUUUCAUCCCAAAACAUCAACAGUCCUCAACACUCCAAAGGUUAUAUUCUAGGCACCUGUAACGUCCGUCGUUAUGAGUAGACCAAGGCGCAGCGUGAGCUGGGUUCAUCAUAUUUAUUUUAAAGGUGAACCAGCAAAAAAACAAAACAAUACAACAACACAACAAACUAAAAAGUCUCGCAGGCUACUAACACCUACACAGAAACUAGAUCCCACACAGAAGGAGUAGGAGAAAAAAAGGGCUGCCUAAGUAUGAUUCCCAAUCAGAGACAACGAUAGACAGCUGCCUCCGAUUGGAAACCAUACUAGGCCAAUCAAAGAAAAGAAGAAAAAAAAAAACAUAGAAAUAUAACACAUAGAAUGCCCACCCCCAUAUCACACCCUGACCUAACCAAACAGAGAAAUAAACCGUCUCUCUCAGGUCAGGGCGUGACAGCGCCACAUUUGACCAGGCCUUAAUUGAAAAACAAAUGACCAUAAAGCCUUUAAGAAGUGUCGCACUGAGCAUUUCCUGAUUGCUUACCACUGAAAUAAAGUUCAUAUGAAAAAACCCAUAGUGUUUCCCUUGGGUCUUGAUUUGCAUGUUGGUCUCAUUUGAAAUUCAUGAUUAAUCCACACUGAUUGAUCCACAUUCCUCAUUGCAAUAAAUAUUUGAUUCUGUCACAUUAGAUUUUCGUUAUUUUUCAUCUACCCCUCUCUCUCUCUCUCUCUCUCUCUCUCUCUCUCUCUCUCUCUCUCUCUGUUGAGAACAUCAAAAAGGUGCACCAAGCUGAGGAUGGGGGUUUGGAGAUGAGUACAGAGGGG
rnacentral:lncRNA from 1 species